rnacentral:misc_RNA from 1 species
AAAAAACAUUGUUCAUUUUGGUAUAUGUUUUUAGAAAAUAAUCCUGGAAAGUUUCUUCUUAUAAUCUAAAGAUAGAAGCAGUCAUUUUUUACAGAGUGGAAUAAUUUGAACAAUCUAGAAGUCAUUAGCGGGUGUAUGUUGGAUUUAAGGUGAAGGAGCAUGGUUGCCUUGAUAAUUUUGGCUACACAAGUAGCACUGCAAAAG